AGUUGUCGUCAAACUUGGGAUUCGGUUUAGGACCAAGAUUCAUAUUACUACGGGUGUGACACGCACGCAAAUUAAGGGGGCACGACAAAGAGAAUAUAUAGGAAGAAGAGAUUUAGGAGUCACGUGUGCACGUGCCGUGUGUAAGACUCGAGUGGCUUUGUCAUCAACCAUGACCCAGCGUCUGGUUUUGACCUCGUGG